GGUGAACGCUGGCGGCGUGCUUAAGACAUGCAAGUCGAACGAGCUCUUCGGGGCUAGUGGCGCACGGGUGAGUAACGCGUAACUGACCUACCCCAAAGUCGCGGAUAACGAUUCGAAAGAAUCGCUAAUACGUGAUGUACUGUCAGAUCCUGUUCUGCCAGUAAAGAUUUAUUGCUUUGGGAUGGGGUUGCGUUCCAUCAGCUAGUUGGUGGGGUAAAGGCCCACCAAGGCGACGACGGAUCGCCGGCCUGAGAGGGUGGCCGGCCACAGGGGCACUGAGACACGGGACCCACUCCUACGGGAGGCAGCAGUUAGGAAUCUUCCACAAUGGGCGAAAGCCUGAUGGAGCGACGCCGCGUGAGGGAUGAAGGUCUUCGGAUCGUAAACCGCUGAAUCAGGGACGAAAGACACUUCGGUGGGAUGACGGUACCUGAGUAAUAGCACCGGCUAACUCCGUGCCAGCCGCCGCCGUAACAC
rnacentral:rRNA from 1 species